CCUACGGGAGGCAGCAGUGGGGAAUAUUGGACAAUGGGGGCAACCCUGAUCCAGCCAUGCCGCGUGUGUGAAGAAGGCCCUCGGGUCGUAAAGCACUUUCAGUGAGGAAGAACGCCUGGUGGUUAAUACCCAUCAGGAAAGACAUCACUCACAGAAGAAGCACCGGCUAACUCCGUGCCAGCAGCCGCGGUAAUACGGAGGGUGCGAGCGUUAAUCGGAAUUACUGGGCGUAAAGCGCGCGUAGGUGGCUUGAUAAGCCGGUUGUGAAAGCCCCGGGCUCAACCUGGGAACGGCAUCCGGAACUGUCAAGCUAGAGUGCAGGAGAGGAAGGUAGAAUUCCCGGUGUAGCGGUGAAAUGCGUAGAGAUCGGGAGGAAUACCAGUGGCGAAGGCGGCCUUCUGGACUGACACUGACACUGAGGUGCGAAAGCGUGGGUAGCAAACAGGAUUAGAUACCCCUGUAGUC
rnacentral:rRNA from 1 species